rnacentral:rRNA from 1 species
UACGGAGGGAGCUAGCGUUGUUCGGAAUUAUUGGGCGUAAAGGGCUCGUAGGCGGUCUGUCGCGUCGGGAGUGAAAACUCAGGGCUUAACCCUGAGCCUGCUUCCGAUACGGGCAGACUAGAGGUAUGCAGGGGAGAACGGAAUUCCUGGUGUAGCGGUGGAAUGCGCAGAUAUCAGGAGGAACACCGGUGGCGAAGGCGGUUCUCUGGGCAUUACCUGACGCUGAGGAGCGAAAGUGCGGGGAGCGAACAGG